rnacentral:rRNA from 1 species
GACGAACGCUGGCGGCGUGCUUAACACAUGCAAGUCGAACGGAAAGGCCCUGCUUUUGUGGGGUGCUCGAGUGGCGAACGGGUGAGUAACACGUGAGUAACCUGCCCUUGACUUUGGGAUAACUUCAGGAAACUGGGGCUAAUACCGGAUAGGAGCUCCUGCUGCAUGGUGGGGGAUGGAAAGUUUCGGCGGUUGGGGAUGGACUCGCGGCUUAUCAGCUUGUUGGUGGGGUAGUGGCUUACCAAGGCUUUGACGGGUAGCCGGCCUGAGAGGGUGACCGGCCACAUUGGUACUGAGAUACGGCCCAGACUCCUACGGGAGGCAGCAGUGGGGAAUAUUGCACAAUGGGCGGAAGCCUGAUGCAGCAACGCCGCGUGCGGGAUGACGGCCUUCGGGUUGUAAACCGCUUUCGCCUGUGACGAAGCGUGAGUGACGGUAAUGGGUAAAGAAGCACCGGCUAACUACGUG